UACGUAGGGUGCGAGCGUUAAUCGGAAUUACUGGGCGUAAAGCGUGCGCAGGCGGUCCGCUAAGUCUGAUGUGAAAGCCCCGGGCUCAACCUGGGAACUGCAUUGGAAACUAACGGGCUCGAGUGUGGCAGAGGGGGGUGGAAUUCCACGUGUAGCAGUGAAAUGCGUAGAGAUGUGGAGGAACACCGAUGGCGAAGGCAGCCCCCUGGGCUAACACUGACGCUCAGGCACGAAAGCGUGGGGAGCAAACAGG
rnacentral:rRNA from 1 species